GGCUGGUCCAAAGAUAGUGAGUUAUCUCAGUUGAUUGUUGACAGUCAGUUACAGAUCAAACUUCUCAUUCUACUCUUUCCCCCUUCUUACUACUGUACUUGACUAGUCAAAA
ensembl:misc_RNA Y_RNA Y RNA